UCUGGCUUCCGUUUCGUUUGUUUGAUCCGUUAAACCCUUCGAAGCAAAAACCUCUCUUCCUGUGACCGAUCUUACUUUUCAUGAUCGGAGAAAAUAGCACCAGAGGUUUUCAGAUUUGGUACUAGAAAUGAAUUCCAGAUUACUCCAAACCCUGUAUCGCACGGCACAGAAUCGAGCAUUUACUUCUCGGGUUGGAAGUUCAGCAAACUAUUCAUGUGGCAUCACAAAUGGUGGUUCAGUUAGUCAAUUGGGUAUUCAGAAAACUUCUUUCCUCAGUAACACUCACACUGCUUUUUCACUGGCUCGGGGUCAUAAAAUGAUAAUAUGUUCUGCAGUGGCUGCAGAUUUGUCAAUAUUCUCGCAUGGCAUUGGCAUUAGGUUGGCGACAACACAAGCAAAAGCCCCCCCACAAGCACGUCAAAUGGGAGCCCUCAAAGUUUCCAUGUUGAGUCCUGGAAUUAUCUAUGAACCUUAUUCACCUCGUCAACCAAUCCCAUUUUGGCAGAGAUGGUUCACAAGAAGUGGUUGGAGGAGAACAAAAGACGAUAUCAUUUUAGAGCUAAAAAGUGCUUAUGCAAUUGCAAAAUUAAGAAAGAAGGGGUACUCAAAGAAACAAUUUUACGAAGAGGCAGUAAAUUUAUAUAAAGAGAUAAACACUUUGAUAGCAAAUGGUGACAAAACAUCGUUGAGGAAAGCAGUCACAGAGAAUAUGUAUUCAGCAUUGAAGAAUGAAAUCAAACUCAGAGAAUCCAAAUGGAACAAAGUUUACUGGGAAAUGAUCCUACCAGUUGUCAAGAUCCGCACGUUACGAGCUAGAUUGAUUGGUGUUGAUCGAAGUGACCUUGAAAAGGUUUUCGUACAGCUUACCCUUGAGAUUCUUGCCAAGCAGAAGUUUGAAGCAUACAAUGCUGAAGGUGCUGUCGUUGCUGGAGAUAAAUCUAAGGAGGUCCUUGUCCGUGAUAUCUGGGUAUUUGAGAAAUCACUUUUUCAUGAGGGAGCUUUUUGGCGUCUCUGUGGGCGAAUUCCAAUCUAAUAUCAUCCUUCACAGUAGAAGCUUCUUUAUCCAAUUUUGUAGAUCAACAGCGUGUCGAGUAUCAGCAGCGUUAAGGAGAAAGCUGUGACUUCCAUGCUUUGAAUUGGGAUCUCUUGGAAGGAAGUUUUACCUUACUUUUCAAGGAAUGCCAUAUGAUUCUUCUAUGAUGAUCUUUUUUUUACUCUUCUUAUGUAAGAGAUUGAUUCAUAGGAAGACAAACUCUUUGGGGCGAAGGUUGCAUCCUUUCAAGGAGCUCCAUUCGUCUAAAGACGAUGAUUCUUGUGUUACUCCUUCGCCUAUCAAAGAUAAAAAUGAUAAGAAUCAUCAUUUUGUACCAUUACCUUCUACAAUCAAACAUGCUCCAAAGAAAAUUGUUAGUAUCAAGGAAACGGUCGAGGAUAUUGAUUCUAUUAUGAAGGAAAGGAGGAAGAACAAAGGAACAAAAAAGUCGAAAUCCUUUGAUUUUGAUAAUGAAUAUGAUGGUUCCUUGAAGCCUACUCGGUCGAUUCUCAAGGUUGGUUCAUUAAACGAUAAGUCAGAUUUAUUAAACUCUUUGAAUCGUGUUGAAUAGAGCUAAUAAGAAAGUUGUAGUUUGCAAUUUAACAUUGGAUCAUGAAUAAAUAUGUACAUUAAAUAAAUUAAAGUCGAACUAAUAUGUCAAUAUUUCAAUUCUA